AGAGGAAGGGAAGCCAGCAUACUUACCUGCUGGAAGUCCGGAGUCGAGUGGCUGGAUGAAGGAGAGAAGCAACGUCGGCUAACCACUCACCUUUCAUCCGGAGAGCUGCUGCAAUUCCAACACCAGUGUGUGUUGGGCUUUUGUGAAACGGAGCAACGGUCAGGUUUUUUGGAGAGGACAGAAAAGUCCGAGGACCAGGACAAAAUUCCGGUCGUGAUAGAUGGCGAGCCAACCACUUUGAGGACGAUCCACCCCAAAGA